AGGAAAAUGAGAGUACUCCUAAACAUUUUUAAAGAAAAAAAACACUGGUUCCAUCCAUAAAACACACACACACACACACAGUGCUUUAAAAAAAAAUGUUUAGGGGUACUCUCAUUUUGAC